CGCAGCGAAAUGCGAUAAGUAAUGUGAAUUGCAGAAUUCAGUGAAUCAUCGAAUCUUUGAACGCAUCUUGCGCUCCUUGGUAUUCCGAGGAGCAUGCCUG
rnacentral:rRNA from 9 species